AGCAAUCAUUCCAUUGCUGACCCAUAGGAUGGUAAUCACAUACAUGAUUGGCUUAAUCUAGAAUCAUGGAUACCUUUCAUACCUUCUUAUCACAAGUUGGAACAAGUGGUCAACAUUGGGACAAUGCAGCCAUAAAUAACAUGGAACAAUAUUUUCAUGGAGGGAAGGACAAUCUCCAUUAUGCCAUGAACGUUUCAUUGCUGAACAACCAUGGAUAUGUUUCCUCUCAUUUGGCUCCCGUUCCUCCAACAGUGUGCAAGAUCUGCCAGCAGAGCUCACUGGAGCAGGGAGACAUCCCGUCAUCCUUUUGGCGCCUGACAAAGUACACUUAUUUUCUUCUAAAUAACACUAUAGUAAUGUAACGGAUGUGAAACGGCUAGCUUAGUUAGCGGUGGUGCGCGCUAUAAAUAGCGUUUCAAUCGGUGACGUCACUUGCUCUGAGAUCUUGAAGUAGUAGGGCCGUGGCUUUUG